GGCGCUACAGAAAAACAGGACAUUAAAGUUUCUCGUGUGAGGAAGCUAACGAGACAGUACAGCUUUGAUGAAGACGACCUUCCUCCAGCACUGGCAGCGGCUGCAGCAGCAUCAACAUCCAUUUCAUCAGCAUCUCCCGUGUCACAGAAAACAUGUACACCACAAAUGUCAGAAGGACAACCCCAGAUAUCGCCUGGUGCCAAGAGCCCCACGGAUGUUGGAAGCACAUUUGCUUUGGAGCCAGGUGAUCUUUUGAUGGAUUUCACAGAAGCCACACCUAUGAUAAAGACAUUCCCUGCUGAUACAUCUAAUCCUUUUUUCGAUCCUUUUACAACAGUACCACAGUUUUCUG
rnacentral:lncRNA from 1 species